GGAGUGCUCGAAAGAGAGCCGUAACACAGGUGCUGCAUGGCUGUCGUCAGCUCGUGUCGUGAGAUGUUGGGUUAAGUCCCGCAACGAGCGCAACCCUUGUCAUUAGUUGCUACAUUCAGUUGGGCACUCUAAUGAGACUGCCGGUGACAAACCGGAGGAAGUGGGAUGACGUCAAGUCCUCAUGGCCCUUAUAGGUGGGGCUACACACGUCAUACAAUGGAUGGUACAAAGGGUCGCCAACCCGCGAGGGGAGCCAAUCCCAUAAAGCCAUUCGUAGUCCGGAUCGCAGUCUGCAACUCGACUGCGUGAAGUCGGAAUCGCUAGUAAUCGUGGAUCAGAAUGUCACGGUGAAUACGUUCCCGGGUCUU
rnacentral:rRNA from 1 species